AUGAUUGGUAGUGUGGGCGGUUAUUUACACAUGUCAACAUUGUCUUUACCCAACCUCCCCUUUAAUCGAAUGAGAAGUGUAUUCAACAGCGUUUCUUCUCCACCGUCCGCUUCCCGCUUCACAUGAAAACCCUAGCCUUUUCCUUAAUCUCUCCACCUCCGGCAGUGGCACACAAAUUCCGUUUAACUCCAGUAUGAACACCAGACAAACACAACCUUGAGGAGUUACGGUUUGGUACGGGAUUACGGCGGCUGGAACUUUGUGGAUUCCGGCGCAUUCCCGUUAACUCCGGCGAGAACCCACUGACCUGAACCAGAGAAUCGCUAAUUCCCCAUGAACAUCAGGAUUCAAGAACCAUGCACCCCUUCUCCUUCUCCUCCAAGAUUCCAUCACCAAACCCCUCUGGAGCAAAACAUCUAGCUAGACCACCAACAUUAUCCGAUGUUCUUCAUAGUUCUUUACAACAAGCAAAAACACAUCAAAAUUCAUAAAGCGAAGAAGGUCAGAGUUUAGAUUCCAAUGAAAGAGGAAUAAAAAGAACUCUGGUUCCUGAAGAACGUUCUGAUGAAAAUCCGAAUGACCCAAAGGCGUUUGUAAAGCUCAACAGAACCAUAAAUCUUUAAAUGAUUCAAGAUUGUGGUAUCAAUGGCAAAAAGAGCAGGAAUUUUAGCUAAAGAAAUAAAGUCGAUGAAAUCAGAUCUUUGUUUUAUGGAAGAAAGACGCAACAUUCUUGAGGAAGAAAACCGGCUGCUUAGAGACAGGUUUAAGGAGUUGCACCUUGGAGUAGGAUGAUCUGAUUCAGGAGGUUGUAAGCAUUAACAAUAAGAUCUGGACGACUUUCAACCCAUUUUACUCAUUUUGACUUGACCCAUUUGAGAUAAUACAACGCAAUUCAGCCAAUCUUGGACGGCCACUGGAAAAUGUUUUUCUGUGCAGAUGAGGCAUCAGAUAUCCUCUUACCGUAAAACUCUCAAAAUCAUGCUCCCAAAGAUAACUGCAGGUCAAGGCAUUAGCGACCCAAAGAAGACUAGGUACUAGGUGCCCGGACGCGUGAAGAAAAAAACAUUUGUGAUCUAUGUAAAUGUUAAAACGCUCAGCUUUUUUUUUUAUCAAUUUCAUUAGUAUAAGUAAAAUGUUCAACCGAGAACGAUUCGGUUUAGUGCGCCGCAACGCGUGCGUGGGUAUAGACCUAGUUAUAUAUAAGAUUUAAAUGUUGUCACCCGUACAGUUAAAUUCAAAAUCUACGAUGUUGAA
rnacentral:lncRNA from 1 species